UGGCGGACGGGUGAGUAAUGUCUGGGAAACUGCCUGAUGGAGGGGGAUAACUACUGGAAACGGUAGCUAAUACCGCAUGACCUCGCAAGAGCAAAGUGGGGGACCUUCGGGCCUCACGCCAUCGGAUGUGCCCAGAUGGGAUUAGCUAGUAGGUGGGGUAAUGGCUCACCUAGGCGACGAUCCCUAGCUGGUCUGAGAGGAUGACCAGCCACACUGGAACUGAGACACGGUCCAGACUCCUACGGGAGGCAGCAGUGGGGAAUAUUGCACAAUGGGCGCAAGCUUGAUGCAGCCAUGCCGCGUGUGUGAAGAAGGCCUUCGGGUUGUAAAGCACUUUCAGCGAGGAGGAAGGGUAUCGUGUUAAUAGCACGGUGCAUUGACGUUACUCGCAGAAGAAGCACCGGCUAACUCCGUGCCAGCAGCCGCGGUAAU
rnacentral:rRNA from 1 species